AGCCAGCCCCCCGGCCCCGCCAGCCGCUCGGCAAGAUGUAAAGUGCCAUCCAAACGCGAUGCAUUAUUAACACUUCAGAAAUCAUAUUUCACAGCCGCCCGCUGGAGCUGGGAAGGGGCUCUUUGCUCCUGCUCCCAGGCCGGGAGUUAUUGUUAGAGCCGCGUGUGACAGCAGAGACACGUGACCGGAGCUGAGACGGUGGAGGCCGGGGGCACCCGGGGGCGCCCGCACUCCCCUGCCCCCCGGAGCUGGCCCGACCAGGCAGGCAAGCGGACCCUCCCUCUCCCACCUUCUGGGAGACCCUGGCAGAGGGCAGGCUGAGCCCCCCACCGGGCCCCUUAGCUCCAGGCCACCCGUCCUGCCCCAUCCUGCUUGGUGAGGAGGAAUUCGAGGGUGGAGGAGGCUCCAGCCUGACGGAGGAGACAAGUCCCCAGGAUGGACACAAGGGCAGGAGAUCCAGAAGGUCACGACGGCGGGGGCUUCCCAGGAAAGGAGGGUCCAGGUCCGCUUGGGGAGGAGCAGACUGUGUGGUCCAGGGCCAGCCUUCAAUAUUUGCCGUGCCUGGAAGGAGACGCGGGGAGGGCGCCCAGCAGCCCUGGCGACAUAUAAAUUCUGCUCAUAAUUACAUGACUUUCAACACCACGAGAUGCCAAUAAAACACCAGCCUCAGGGCCCCGGGCUCCCUGCCCCGUCUCUUGAAACCCCAGCUCUGUUAGGCCCGCCAAAACACAGGAUGUGAGCUCUGCUCUUCCAGAAGGAGGUGGGGAAGCCUCCCUCCCCUUCCCAAGCCCGGGCCCUCUCCGGCUCCCACCUUCCCGACUGUGGACUGGGCAGCCCCUUCCCACCUGCCGGCCCAGUGGCAAGUACCAGCCCCACCUUCCAGCACUGUCUUCUCAGGGGAAACCCAGGGCAGGGGCGGCAGGAGGGGGUGGGGGCAGCAGGAGAGCCCCUCUGACCCGCGCGCAGACGCCCUCUGCUAAGGGGAGGCCCCCGUGGGCCCCAUCACACCCACCCCCACCCACAGUGUGGGCGGCGAGCGGGUCAGGAACCUGGUCCUCCCCCCUGUCUAGGCCCAGCCGCCCCACACGGGUCCUCGCAGGAGGUACUCGGUACAAGACACAUCUGCUGAAUCGGACAGAACGGAGGAGGCUGGAUGACCAGCAGCGCUCACAGCUUGGCACGGGACAGACGUUCCUAGAGACGGCAGCAAAAACCACCUGGGCUGGAAACCAGAACGGGGUUCGACUCCAGCUCUGCCCCUUCCUCCCUCCCUGCGCCCCCAGCCUCAUCCGCUAAGUGCAUGGCCCGGAGGGGACACGGAUUUGGCACCGCCCCCUCUCGAGAGGGUGGGGCCUUCCAAGGACCGGUGGGGGGCCCUGAGAGCCAUUGGCAGAAAACGUCGUGUGCCACGGGCCCGCCACUCUGCGCUCAGCAUGCUUCUGCGAUACUAAAACACUCAGUAAUAGCAAUAAUGGUGCCUCCACCAACAUCCACAGGCAACUGGUUGGCAAGAAAUCUCGUAACUUAUGCAGGAGGAUUCCCGUCGUGCUGAGGCCCCCAGGAUCCGACCCAUUCUCACCACAAACAACUUUCUGCCUCUGGUUCCAGCCAAGCCAGAGAGAACCUUGAACGCUAAACAAUUCAGUUCAGUUCUGUUCCACACGAAGCAGCAACAAGUCUUGGGGACCUACUGUGUGCCAGAGUUUCUACUGAGUUCCGCGGAGAUAAGGGGAUUAAUACGGAGCAGCCGAGCUCCUGGGGCGUCUCUAAUAAAUAGCUUUAGUUAGAGAUAAGGCUCGGGCCAGGCAUGGGCUUUGGUGUUCAGGAGAGACAUGAUUAAUCCUGAUGGUGGGAAGAGAGGCCUCUGGGCAGAGACUAUGUAAGGGGCACAACAACCCUCCCCCCCCAGCAGAUACGGAGGUGAAGCGAUUCCGGGCAGAGAGAACACUGGGGACAAAGGCAGGGCAGUGUGUGGUGUGUGUGGGGAAGAGUCUGGGAGGGCGGGAGCUCGGGGGACUUGUGCAAGGGUAGGUUGUCAGGAUUAAAGUGAUAAUCCCCUGCAUUGUACUUGCAAACAACAUGUGCACGGCAAUUACAAGGUACCACAUUUUUACGGCUUAUGGGACCCAAGACGGGGCAGGUGGACUGGGGUCAGGUUGUGGCAGGUCCUGCAUUCACCCCUCUGCACCUACCCUCCCGGGCCUCAGCCACCGUGCUGGCGGCUGGGGGUCCGCAGUGGGAUCCCACCGCCUCCUGCUCCCCAGAGAACGUACAUGGGAGCACGACUGCCACGGGUAAUGCCUCACGGGCUUACAGGCCCGGUGAUGACAUAUGGAAGGGACGCCGUGGGUGCACAGAGAGAAAAAGAGUCCAUUUCACCUGGGGCGAGGUGAGGGAAGGCCUCCCAGGGAGGCCAGAGCCCUGGGACUGGGGUUUGCAGAGUGGGAGGCGUCCCAGGGUCAGAGGACGGGAGCCUCACCGCGGGGCUGGCCUGUUUCCCCCGGGAAGACCGUAAACGCGAGCAAGGGCUCCGAGGCAGGAUGUCUGGGGGACGGCGGCAUCGGCAUGUGGUUCUGAUGAGAGACAGAAGACACAAGCAGGCUGGGCCGGGUCCGUGCUGCCCUACCCAGUCACGGGACGGGCUCCAUCCUGUCGCAGCCGGAGGGGAUGAUGGAGCAGGAGGCGGACGGCCCCGCCAGCAGCCAGGGGCCGGCACCGUGGGGAGCU